UACGGAGGGAGCUAGCGUUGUUCGGAAAUACUGGGCGUAAAGCGCACGUAGGCGGCGCAGCAAGUCAGGGGUGAAAUCCCGGGGCUCAACCCCGGAACUGCCCUUGAAACUGCAGUGCUAGAAUCUUGGAGAGGCGAGUGGAAUUCCGAGUGUAGAGGUGAAAUUCGUAGAUAUUCGGAAGAACACCAGUGGCGAAGGCGACUCGCUGGACAAGUAUUGACGCUGAGGUGCGAAAGCGUGGGGAGCAAUCCGG
rnacentral:rRNA from 1 species